UGGGGAAUUUUGGACAAUGGGGGAAACCCUGAUCCAGCCAUCCCGCGUGUGCGAUGAAGGCCUUCGGGUUGUAAAGCACUUUUGGCAGGAAAGAAACGUCAUGGGUUAAUACCCCGUGAAACUGACGGUACCUGCAGAAUAAGCACCGGCUAACUACGUGCCAGCAGCCGCGGUAAUACGUAGGGUGCAAGCGUUAAUCGGAAUCACUGGGCGUAAAGCGUGCGCAGGCGGUUCGGAAAGAAAGAUGUGAAAUCCCAGAGCUCAACUUUGGAACUGCAUUUUUAACUACCGGGCUAGAGUGUGUCAGAGGGAGGUGGAAUUCCGCGUGUAGCAGUGAAAUGCGUAGAUAUGCGGAGGAACACCGAUGGCGAAGGCAGCCUCCUGGGAUAACACUGACGCUCAUGCACGAAAGCGUGGGGAGCAAACAGG
rnacentral:rRNA from 1 species